rnacentral:rRNA from 1 species
AACUUUGGAUAAUGGGGGAAACCCUGAUCCAGCCAUCCCGCGUGAAUGAUGAAGGCCUUCGGUGUGUAUAUUACGUUUGGCAGAGAAGAAAAUGUAUCUCCUAAUACGAGCUACUGUUGACUGUAUCUGCAGCAUAAGCAUCUGCUAACUACGUGCUGCAGCCGCGGUAAUACGUAGGGUGCAAGCGUUAAUCGGAAUUACUGGGCGUAAAGCGUGUGUAGGCGGUUCGGAAAGAAAGAUGUGAAAUCCCAGGGCUCAACCUUGGAACUGCAUUUUUAACUGCCGAGCUAGAGUAUGUCAGAGGGGGGUAGAAUUCCACGUGUAGCAGUGAAAUGCGUAGAUAUGUGGAGGAAUACCGAUGGCGAAGGCAGCCCCCUGGGAUAAUACUGACGCUCAGACACGAAAGCGUGGGGAGCAAACAG